UACAGAGGGGGCAAGCGUUGUUCGGAAUUACUGGGCGUAAAGGGCGCGUAGGCGGCCUUCUAAGUCGAACGUGAAAUCCCUGGGCUCAACCCAGGAACUGCGUCCGAUACUGGAAGGCUUGAAUCCGGGAGAGGGAUGCGGAACUCCAGGUGUAGCGGUGAAAUGCGUAGAUAUCUGGAGGAACACCGGUGGCGAAGGCGGCAUCCUGGACCGGUAUUGACGCUGAGGCGCGAAAGCCAGGGGAGCAAACGGG
rnacentral:rRNA from 1 species